rnacentral:rRNA from 1 species
GUGAGUCUGAGGUGGAGGGCGGGGGUAAAGCGGUGUGUGCGGUCGUGAAGCGGAAGUAUUGGUCUUAAGGGGGGGGUGUGGGGGUUGGGAAGCCGGAGGGGAAAUCCCCGGGCGUAACCUGGGAAUGUGAGUUGGGACUGCAAGGCUGGAGUGCGGCAGAGGAGACUGGAAUUCCUGGUGGAGCAGUGAAAUGCGUAGAUAGCAGGAGGAAUACCUAUGGCGAAGGCAGGUCUCUGGGCUGACACUGACGCUCAUGCACGAAAGCGUGGGGAGCAAACAGGAUUAGAUACCCUGGUAGUC